UGGGGAAUAUUGCACAAUGGGCGCAAGCCUGAUGCAGCCAUGCCGCGUGUGUGAAGAAGGCCUUCGGGUUGUAAAGCACUUUCAGCGAGGAGGAAGGUGGUGAGCUUAAUACGCUCAUCAAUUGACGUUACUCGCAGAAGAAGCACCGGCUAACUCCGUGCCAGCAGCCGCGGUAAUACGGAGGGUGCAAGCGUUAAUCGGAAUUACUGGGCGUAAAGCGCACGCAGGCGGUUUGUUAAGUCAGAUGUGAAAUCCCCGGGCUCAACCUGGGAACUGCAUUUGAAACUGGCAAGCUAGAGUCUCGUAGAGGGGGGUAGAAUUCCAGGUGUAGCGGUGAAAUGCGUAGAGAUCUGGAGGAAUACCGGUGGCGAAGGCGGCCCCCUGGACGAAGACUGACGCUCAGGUGCGAAAGCGUGGGGCAGCAAACAGGAUUAGAUACCCUGGUAGUCCAGCGCUGUAAACGAUGUCGAUUUGGAGGUUGUGCCCUUGAGGCGUGGCUUCCGGAGCUAACGCGUUAAAUCGACCGCCUGGGGAGUACGGCCGCAAGGUUAAAACUUAAAUGAAUUGC
rnacentral:rRNA from 1 species